AACCAUGGUUGAAACAAGAUUUAUCAUGAGAAGUCAGCAGAGGCCAUAGUACUAUGAGAAUCUAGAUAUCAUAGGAAGGGC
rfam:Tissierella praeacuta DSM 18095 genome assembly, contig: EK13DRAFT_scaffold00038.38